ACCUGGCUGGCUCAGUUGCUAGAGCAUGUGACUCUUGAUCUCAGGGUCGUUAGUUUAAGCCCAAUGUUAGGUG
rnacentral:tRNA from 1 species